CCUACGGGAGGCAGCAGUGGGGAAUAUUGGGCAAUGGGCGCAAGCCUGACCCAGCAACGCCGCGUGAAGGAAGAAGGCUUUCGGGUUGUAAACUUCUUUUCUCAGGGACGAAGCAAGUGACGGUACCUGAGGAAUAAGCCACGGCUAACUACGUGCCAGCAGCCGCGGUAAUACGUGGGUGGCAAGCGUUAUUCGGAUUUAAUGGGUGUAAAGGGGGUGUAGGCGGGAAAGCAAGUCAGAUGUGAAAACCCUGGGCUCAACCUGUGGCCUGCAUUUGAAAAUGUGUUGCUUGAGUACUGGAGAGGCAGGCGGAAUUCCUGGUGGAGCGGUGAAAUGCGUAGAGAUUAGGAGGAACACCGGUGGCGAAGGCGGUCUGCUGGACAGCAACUGACGCUGAGGCGCGAAAGCGUGGGGAGCAAACAGGAUUAGAUACCCUUGUAGUC
rnacentral:rRNA from 1 species